AUUGAACGCUGGCGGCAGGCCUAACACAUGCAAGUCGAGCGAGCGGCGGACGGGUGAGUAAUGUAUGGGGACUGCCCGAUAGAGGGGGAUAACUACUGGAAACGGUGGCUAAUCCCGCAUACUAUCGGAUAACCCAUAUGGGAUUAGCUAGUAGGUGGGGUAAAGGCUCACCUAGGCCACGAUCUCUAGCUGGUCUGAGAGGAGGAUCACCCACACUGGAACGUGGACACGGCCCAGACUCCUAGGGAGGCACAAGUGGGGAAUAUUGCACAAUGGGCGAAAGCCUGAUGCAGCAAUGCCGCGUGUAUGAAGAAGGCCUUAGGGUUGUAAAGUACUUUCAGCGGGGAGGCGUUACCCGCAGAAGAAGCAACGGCUAACUCCGUGCCAGCAGCCGCGGUAAUUC
rnacentral:rRNA from 1 species